rnacentral:rRNA from 1 species
CACGUAGGGUGCGAGCGUUGUCCGGAAUUAUUGGGCGUAAAGAGCUCGUAGGCGGUGUGUCGCGUCGGCCGUGAAAACCUGCAGCUUAACUGUGGGCUUGCGGUCGAUACGGGCAUCACUGGAGUUCGGCAGGGGAGACUGGAAUUCCUGGUGUAGCGGUGAAAUGCGCAGAUAUCAGGAGGAACACCGGUGGCGAAGGCGGGUCUCUGGGUCGAUACUGACGCUGAGAAGCGAAAGCGUGGGGAGCGAACAGG